GAGGGUGUAGCUCAGUGGUAGAGUGCGUGCUUAGCAUGCACGAGGUCCUGGCUUCCAUCCCCACUACCUUCA
rnacentral:tRNA from 1 species